GUGGGGAAUAUUGCACAAUGGGCGCAAGCCUGAUGCAGCGACGCCGCGUGAGGGAUGACGGCCUUCGGGUUGUAAACCUCUUUCAGCAGGGAAGAAGCGAAAGUGACGGUACCUGCAGAAGAAGCGCCGGCUAACUACGUGCCAGCAGCCGCGGUAAUACGUAGGGCGCGAGCGUUGUCCGGAAUUAUUGGGCGUAAAGAGCUUGUAGGCGGUUUGUUGCGUCUGCUGUGAAAGACCGGGGCUUAACCCCGGUAUUGCAGUGGGUACGGGCAGACUAGAGUGCAGUAGGGGAGACUGGAAUUCCUGGUGUAGCGGUGAAAUGCGCAGAUAUCAGGAGGAACACCGAUGGCGAAGGCAGGUCUCUGGGCUGUAACUGACGCUGAGAAGCGAAAGCAUGGGGAGCGAACAGG
rnacentral:rRNA from 1 species